GCAGCCGUGGCCUACUGGUUAGCGCUUCGGACUUGUAACCGGAGGGUUGCCGGUUCGAACCCCAACCGGUAGGCCACG
rnacentral:tRNA from 1 species